CCUACGGGAGGCAGCAGUGGGGAAUAUUGCACAAUGGGGGAAACCCUGAUGCAGCGACGCCGCGUGAGUGAAGAAGUAUUUCUGUAUGUAAAGCUCUAUCAGCAGGGAAGAAAAUGACGGUACGUGUUUAAGAUGCCCCGGCUAACUACGUGCCAGCCGCCGCGGCACUACGUAGGGGGCAGGCGUUAUCCGGAUUUACUGGGUGUAAAGGGAGCGUAGACGGCAGCGCAAGUCAGAAGUGAAAUGCCGGGGCUUAACCCCGGAACUGCUUUUGAAACUGUGCGGCUAGAGUGCAGGAGCGGUAAGUGGAAUUCCUGGUGUAGCGGUGAAAUGCGUAGAUAUUAGGAAGAACACCAGUUGCGAAGGCAGCUUACUGGACUGUAACUGACGUUGAGGCUCGAAAGCGUGGGGAGCAAACAGGAUUAGAUACCCGAGUAGUC
rnacentral:rRNA from 1 species